rnacentral:sRNA from 1 species
AAAGUUCUUGGAAAACUAUAACCUGAGGGAUAAUCAUGAUUAUCAUAUUGUUCUUACUGUGAUCACUGUGAUUUGAGUGGUUUUAAGUAUGUGAGCUCAAGGUUUUCAUUUGGCAUUUCACCCUUGCACUCCUUGCCUGGCUUUUCUGACUCUUGGGGGCUAGGAUAUUAGCUCCUGAUUUUACCUCACAACUAAAUUAUCUCCAGGUUAGCACUGAGGGCUGUAUGGCCGUUGUCAAACUUACUCUUCCCUUUUCUUUAAUACAGGUGACAAGUCAGCAGCAGGAGAUGGCUGUCUUGGACAGGCAUUUAGGGCAUAAAAAGGAGGAGCUGCAUCUACUCCAAGGAAGCAUGGUCCAGGCAAAAGCUGACCUCCAGGAAGCUCUGAGACUGGGAGAGACUGAAGUAACUGAGAAGUGCAAUCACAUUAGGGAAGUAAAAUCUCUUCUGGAAGAACUGAGUUUUCAGAAAGGAGAACUAAACGUUCAGAUUAGUGAAAGAAAAACUCAACUUACACUUAUAAAGCAGGAAAUUGAAAAAGAGGAAGAAAAUCUUCAGGUUGUUUUAAGGCAGAUGUCUAAACAUAAAACCGCUUUUCUACAGUAAGCAAAUAUCUCUAUAAUCAAAAAAAGUUAAUAUUUAAAUAUCUGUAUUUCAAAGGCCAAAAAAUUGUUAUAUAAAUCUCAGUCUGUAUUUCAAAGUAUUUUUAAUUUAUUUUGAUCAAUUUUAUAUAAAAUGCUUUUAGUUGAUUCUUUUAUGUAGAAGCAAAUGCUUUGGAACCAGAUCUUUGUUAAUUAAAUGUUUUUGUUAAAA